GUCCACGCCGUAAACGUUGGGCGCUAGGUGUGGGGCUCUUUCCACGAGUUCCGUGCCGCAGCAAACGCAUUAAGCGCCCCGCCUGGGGAGUACGGCCGCAAGGCUAAAACUCAAAGGAAUUGACGGGGGCCCGCACAAGCGGCGGAGCAUGCGGAUUAAUUCGAUGCAACGCGAAGAACCUUACCAAGGCUUUACAUGGGCAGUAAUCCGGCAGAGAUGUCGGGUCCGUAAGGGCUGUUCACAGGUGGUGCAUGGUUGUCGU
rnacentral:rRNA from 1 species